UCAGCUCCGCCCUUUUCGUUCGUCGUCUUCUUCGCGCAGAUGUCCGAAAGCCUAACUCACCCGUCACAAAUGGAAACAAGGCCAAAUACACGUCCCUAAAACCUCAGUUUUUCACAAAUUGCAGCAAAAAGACACACGGUUCGUCAAGAAUCCAAGAUUUAAAGACCGGAAAGCGAUUUCAACUGCAUUGCGAUUUGAAGAAUUCAGAUGCGAUGCAAGGAUCAUACAGCACUUUCUCAUCAGUAUAGGCCCUAGCUAAUAUCUUCCCAGGUCAAAUCUAAGUACAGGCACGGAGAGAAGCAGAACACAGACAGAGCUGCGCCACAUAUGAUGCAAAUUUAUACUUAUAAAGAUAAGUUUUCUCAAUAUAUAUACAAUACCUGUUCUAAUAAUUGUUCUUUAUGCUAUAUCUGAGAUGUUUAAUACCAAUACAUAUAUCAUAAAUGUAUAUAUGAAUUUCAAAAAAUAGGGGGAAUAUAAAAGAUAAGUAUUACGGGGUACAAUAAUUGUUGAUAAAAUUAUCUAUCAAAUUACUUCAUUGUGAGAAUAAAUUGCCUGAGAAGCUGGACAACAAAUAUCAAUAGUCCUAUGAACAUAAGUGAUCUCCCUACAUGCAAUUAAUAGGAAAUUUCAUACUGUCAGCAAAUUUCAUACUGUCAGCAAAAGUGAUCUCCCUACUUUUUAUUGUAAUGAUAAUCACACUGAAGAGGCAUACUUUUGUACACAUACACUUCCGACUCAAAAUGGAUUAAAAUAAUGUAAACAAUGUCUUUGAGAUCAGUUAAAAAACAUAUGAAAUAUAGCUGUAUGUAAGUUUACCUUUAUUUGAAUGCUCAUAUUUUCUCUUGGAACCAAUAAUUGUUGAAUGCUCUAACUUCAUUAUUUUCUUCCAAAUUGUUGCUUAGAAUCUACAUUUGAAUGGUGAAAGUGAAUUUGAAGAAAGAUUUCCUUACUCCCUUCAAAGAAUUGGCAAUUUAUAUUAGAUUAAAUGCAUUGGUAAUGGUAGUAUAAUAAUUACUAAUACUCUUUUACUCAAAAAGCAUUCCCUAUUUUAUUGGGAAUAAGAGUGGUCUGCAUUUUUCAUUUCAAUGUAAAAUUAUUGAACUGAAUUGGUUCUGUAGUUCUGAAUAUAAUUUUUUUUAUUCAUACAACUUCUUCAUAGAAUUAAUAUAUACAAAA